rnacentral:rRNA from 10 species
GCGUAAAGCGCACGCAGGCGGUCUGUCAAGUCGGAUGUGAAAUCCCCGGGCUCAACCUGGGAACUGCAUUCGAAACUGGCAGGCUUGAGUCUUGUAGAGGGGGGUAGAAUUCCAGGUGUAGCGGUGAAAUGCGUAGAGAUCUGGAGGAAUACCGGUGGCGAAGGCGGCCCCCUGGACAAAGACUGACGCUCAGGUGCGAAAGCGUGGGGAGCAAACAGGAUUAGAUACCCUGGUAGUCCACGCCGUAAACGAUGUCUACUUGGAGGUUGUGCCCUUGAGGCGUGGCUUCCGGAGCUAACGCGUUAAGUAGACCGCCUGGGGAGUACGGCCGCAAGGUUAAAACUCAAAUGAAUUGACGGGGGCCCGCACAAGCGGUGGAGCAUGUGGUUUAAUUCGAUGCAACGCGAAGAACC